rnacentral:rRNA from 1 species
AUGAACGCUAGCUACAGGCUUAACACAUGCAAGUCGAGGGGCAGCAUGGUCUUAGCUUGCUAAGGCCGAUGGCGACCGGCGCACGGGUGAGUAACACGUAUCCAACCUGCCGUCUACUCUUGGACAGCCUUCUGGAAGGAAGAUUAAUACAAGAUGGCAUCAUGAGUCCGCAUGUUCACAUGAUUAAAGGUAUUCCGGUAGACGAUGGGGAUGCGUUCCAUUAGAUAGUAGGCGGGGUAACGGCCCACCUAGUCUUCGAUGGAUAGGGGUUCUGAGAGGAAGGUCCCCCACAUUGGAACUGAGACACGGUCCAAACUCCUACGGGAGGCAGCAGUGAGGAAUAUUGGUCAAUGGGCGAGAGCCUGAACCAGCCAAGUAGCGUGAAGGAUGACUGCCCUAUGGGUUGUAAACUUCUUUUAUAAAGGAAUAAAGUCGGGUAUGGAUACCCGUUUGCAUGUACUUUAUGAAUAAGGAUCGGCUAACUCCGUGCCAGCAGCCGCGGUAAUACGGAGGAUUCGAGCGUUAUCCGGAUUUAUUGGGUUUAAAGGGAGCGUAGAUGGAUGUUUAAGUCAGUUGUGAAAGUUUGCGGCUCAACCGUAAAAUUGCAGUUGAUACUGGAUAUCUUGAGUGCAGUUGAGGCAGGCGGAAUUCGUGGUGUAGCGGUGAAAUGCUUAGAUAUCACGAAGAACUCCGAUUGCGAAGGCAGCCUGCUAAGCUGCAACUGACAUUGAGGCUCGAAAGUGUGGGUAUCAAACAGGAUUAGAUACCCUGGUAGUCCACACGGUAAACGAUGAAUACUCGCUGUUUGCGAUAUACGGCAAGCGGCCAAGCGAAAGCGUUAAGUAUUCCACCUGGGGAGUACGCCGGCAACGGUGAAACUCAAAGGAAUUGACGGGGGCCCGCACAAGCGGAGGAACAUGUGGUUUAAUUCGAUGAUACGCGAGGAACCUUACCCGGGCUUAAAUUGCAGAUGAAUUACGGUGAAAGCCGUAAGCCGCAAGGCAUCUGUGAAGGUGCUGCAUGGUUGUCGUCAGCUCGUGCCGUGAGGUGUCGGCUUAAGUGCCAUAACGAGCGCAACCCUUGUUGUCAGUUACUAACAGGUUCUGCUGAGGACUCUGACAAGACUGCCAUCGUAAGAUGUGAGGAAGGUGGGGAUGACGUCAAAUCAGCACGGCCCUUACGUCCGGGGCUACACACGUGUUACAAUGGGGGGUACAGAGGGCCGCUACCACGCGAGUGGAUGCCAAUCCCAAAAACCUCUCUCAGUUCGGACUGGAGUCUGCAACCCGACUCCACGAAGCUGGAUUCGCUAGUAAUCGCGCAUCAGCCACGGCGCGGUGAAUACGUUCCCGGGCCUUGUACACACCGCCCGUCAAGCCAUGGGAGCCGGGGGUACCUGAAGUGCGUAACCGCGAGGAGCGCCCUAGGGUAAAACUGGUGACUGGGGCU